rnacentral:lncRNA from 1 species
CGAAUCCGAAUCCGAAUCCUAAUUCUAAUUCAAUAUGUGUGUAACAUUUACACAUAAAUCCUCAUAUUAUUUACUAACGAACUUUUACACAUAAAUACCUCUAAUUUACAACAAUUGCAAAUUAGUCCUUUUACUAAUAAAUUAGUAUUUAAUUAUAAUUGUAAUUAAUCCAUCCUAUAAACUUUUUUUAUCGUUUCCUAAAUAUCGAUCAUGCGCGAUUUCUUAUGUGUGCGGUUCAAUUCUGUCUGGUAGUGAGUUAUGAUGCGAUCCCUAUCUACAUCAUCAUCGAAACUCCUUUCGAUGGCUCAAACUCUUUU